GAUGAACGCUGACAGCAUGCUUAACACAUCAGCAAUUGAGUGGUGUCGGACGGGUGAGUAACACGUACAGAACUUGCCUCACACCUAGGGACAACAUUUGGAAACGAAUGCUAAUACUUAAUACUGUGAGAGAGCUUUGCGUCCCGUUAGCUAGUUGUAGAGGUAACGGCUCACCAAGGCGAUGAUGGGUAGCCGGCCUGAGAGGGUGAUCGGCCACAAGGGGACUGAGAGGCGGCAAUUAGUCAGCCGGGCGGAUGCAGUGGGGAAUAUUGGACCAAGGCCCAAAGGUGGAUCAAGUAAUUGUGUGUGAAAGAUGAAGUUUUCGGAAUGAAAAGUGCGUUAAGGUGGGAAGCGGUACCAACAGAAGAAGUGACGGCUAAAUACGUGCCAGCAGCCGCGGUAAUAC
rnacentral:rRNA from 1 species